GAUGAACGCUGGCGGCGUGCCUAAUGCAUGCAAGUCGAGCGACGCAUGUUCAGUCCGUAAGGACAGAGCAUGACGGAGCGGCGAACGGGUGAGUAACACGUGAGCAACCUGCCCCACAGACCGGGAUAGCCCAGGGAAACCUGGAUUAAUACCAGAUGCCCUCGGAAGAUCGCAUGAUCGUCCGAGGAAAUGCCUUUGUGCUGUGGGAUGGGCUCGCGACCUAUCAGCUAGUUGGUGGGGUAAAGGCCUACCAAGGCAUCGACGGGUAGCUGGUCUGAGAGGACGAUCAGCCACACUGGGACUGAGACACGGCCCAGACUCCUACGGGAGGCAGCAGCAGGGAAUCUUGCGCAAUGGGCGAAAGCCUGACGCAGCAACGCCGCGUGGGGGAUGAAGGCCUUCGGGUUGUAAACCCCUUUCAGGAGGGAAGAAAUUGACGGUACCUCCAGAAGAAGGACCGGCCAACUACGUG
rnacentral:rRNA from 1 species